UUUCGGUCGAGGAAACACAAAGAAAAUAUUGAUUAUUCGCCGAAAAUUUACAUAAUUGAGCGCCUUAGAAAAAUAGAUCGAGGUAGGGAAAGCUUUGCUGUUUUUAACUUACUUUAUAUUCUGUUAUUUGUUGUGAUUUUGAAGCCGUUGUGUGCGCACUGAUAUUUUAUAUUUAUCGCGUUUAUUUAUAUAUCGUGAAACUUUAAAACCACGCUAUCAAAAUACUCAAUUUUUAUAUACUCAAACUGAAACGUAGCAUUGUGCUCGCACUGAUUAUAUUGUUUGCAAAACUUCAAAACUGCAGUACAUUUU